CAAUGUUAAGGUCUGCCUUUCACCUUCCGCCAUGAUUGUGAGGCCUCCCCAGCCACGUGGAACUAUGAGUCCAUUAAGCCUCUUUUUCCUGAUGAAUUACCCAGCCUCAGGUAUGUAUUUAUCAGCAGCAUGAAAAAAGACUAAUACAGAGAAGAUCCAUGACCACUACUCUCAGUUUGUGAACCUCCAUCAACUCAGCAGACCAUCAAAGCCUCAUCUACUUCAAUGGCAAACAAUGUGUAUCUCAUGUUGAACAGGAUGGAAGCCUGCUUCAUUAAGGAAAGCACUACAUUAGGAUCUGGUUUGUGCUGUAGGAGCUUAUGUAGAGCCUCAAAAUGGAAACACACUGAACUCAGCCAUGGAAAGCCUUGUGGAACAGGCUUUGUAUCAGUUGAAGACAAGUGAUAAGAGAAGACUAAUGUUUCUACUCAUGUACAAAGGUACUUUGAUGUUGAUACUGCUUAUGUACAGGUUGAUGCCAUGGCAGGAAAGCAAAGAUUUUGACCUUUGCUGCCCAAUAUGGCAACCACUAGCCACAUAUGUCCACUGAACACCUGAAAUGUGAUUAGUACAACAUAUUAAAAAGCGAGAACACAGUGAGUGAGAAGGUGGCCAUCUGCAAACAAGGGAAAGAGCUCUCAUCAGACCUCAACACACCGGCAUUCUGAUUUCGGACUUCCAGCCACCCAAACCAUGAGAAAAUAAAUUUCUGUUAUUUAAGACAUCCAGGGUAUGGUAUUUUGUUAUAGCUGACUAAUACCAAGCUGAGUAAUCCUGAGCUGAAUAAUACUCAACUUCUAGGCUAGUUCAUAAAAGCAUGAAUAAAUACUCAACUUCUAGGCCAACUUCUAGGCCUAGUUCAUAAAAGCAUGAAUAAAUACUCAACUUCUA
rnacentral:lncRNA from 1 species